rnacentral:rRNA from 1 species
UUGACCUCGGAUCAGGUAGGAGUUACCCGCUGAACUUAAGCAUAUCAUAAGCGGAGGAAA